AUUCGUCCACGACAAUCAAGGACAGUGUGACAUCCAAUGACGUUUACUACCCUGACCUCAGCACUGCCCCAGAGCCAUCUGAGCCAAAGGGUACAACUACUUCCUUUCCUUGGAACAACAUAGACAUCGCCCUGAGCCAAAGCACGCAGAAAGUGAUCUCUGAAGUUGAAGCGACGUACUCGGCCUUUGUGAAACCUGACGUUCAGAAAGACCCUAGAAGCAGCACUGUACCAACUCUCGGUGAGUCCCCG